rnacentral:rRNA from 1 species
UCCGUAGGUGGAUAAUUAAGUCAGAGGUGAAAUCCUGCAGCUCAACUGUAGAAUUGCCUUUGAUACUGGUUAUCUUCAGUCAUUAUGAAGUGGUUAGAAUGUGUAGUGUAGCGGUGAAAUGCAUAGAUAUUACACAGAAUACCGAUUGCGAAGGCAGAUCACUAAUAAUGUACUGACACUGAUGGACGAAAGCGUGGGGAGCAAACAGGAUUAGAUACCCUGGUAGUCC